GACGAACGCUGGCGGCGUGCUUAACACAUGCAAGUCGAACGGAAAGGCCCUGCUUUUGUGGGGUGCUCGAGUGGCGAACGGGUGAGUAACACGUGAGUAACCUGCCCUUGACUUUGGGAUAACUUCAGGAAACUGGGGCUAAUACCGGAUAGGAGCUCCUGCUGCAUGGUGGGGGUUGGAAAGUUUCGGCGGUUGGGGAUGGACUCGCGGCUUAUCAGCUUGUUGGUAGGGUAGUGGCUUACCAAGGCUUUGACGGGUAGCCGGCCUGAGAGGGUGACCGGCCACAUUGGGACUGAGAUACGGCCCAGACUCCUACGGGAGGCAGCAGUGGGGAAUAUUGCACAAUGGGCGGAAGCCUGAUGCAGCAACGCCGCGUGCGGGAUGGCGGCCUUCGGGUUGUAAACCGCUUUCGCCUGUGACGAAGCGUGAGUGACGGUAAUGGGUAAAGAAGCACCGGCUAACUACGUG
rnacentral:rRNA from 1 species